rnacentral:rRNA from 1 species
UAAUACGGGGGGAGCGAACGUUGUUCGGAAUCACUGGGCGUAAAGGGCGUGCAGGCGGCCCGGUAAGUGGAAUGUGAAAUGCCCUGGCUCAACCAGGGAACUGCAUUCCAGACUGCCAGGCUUGAGUACAGGAGAGGAUGGGGGAAUUCCCGGUGUAGCGGUGGAAUGCAUUGAUAUCGGGAGGAACACCAGUGGCGAAGGCGCCCAUCUGGCCUGAUACUGACGCUGAGGCGCGAAAGCUAGGGGAGCAAACAGGAUUAGAUACCCUGGUAGUCCUAGCCGUAAACGGUGAGCACUAGGUGUAGGAGGCAUCGACCCCUCCUGUGCCGUAGCUAACGCAUUAAGUGCUCCGCCUGGGGAGUACGACCGCAAGGUUG